rnacentral:rRNA from 1 species
CACGUAGGGGGCGAGCGUUGUCCGGAUUUAUUGGGCGUAAAGAGCUCGUAGGCGGCUCAGUAAGUCGGGUGUGAAAACUCCAGGCUCAACCUGGAGACGCCACCUGAUACUGCUGUGGCUAGAGUCCGGUAGGGGAGCAUGGAAUUCCUGGUGUAGCGGUGAAAUGCGCAGAUAUCAGGAGGAACACCAGUGGCGAAGGCGGUGCUCUGGGCCGGAACUGACGCUGAGGCACGAAAGCGUGGGGAGCAAACAGG